UACGGGGGGGGCAAGCGUUGUUCGGAAUUACUGGGCGUAAAGGGCUCGUAGGCGGCCAACUAAGUCAGACGUGAAAUCCCUCGGCUUAACCGGGGAACUGCAUCUGAUACUGGAUGGCUUGAGUUCGGGAGAGGGAUGUGGAAUUCCAGGUGUAGCGGUGAAAUGCGUAGAUAUCUGGAGGAACACCGGUGGCGAAGGCGGCAUCCUGGACCGACACUGACGCUGAGGAGCGAAAGCCAGGGGAGCGAACGGG
rnacentral:rRNA from 1 species